rnacentral:rRNA from 1 species
CCUACGGGUGGCUGCAGUGGGGAAUAUUGCACAAUGGGGGAAACCCUGAUGCAGCGACGCCGCGUGUGGGAAGACGGUCUUCUGGAUUGUAAACCACUGUCCCCAGGGACGAAAAUGACGGUACCUGGGGAGGAAGCUCCGGCUAACUACGUGCCAGCAGCCGCGGUACUACGUAGGGAGCAAGCGUUGUCCGGAAUUACUGGGUGUAAAGGGAGCGUAGGCGGGGAUGCAAGUUGGGUGUCAAAACUACCGGCUCAACCGAUAGUCGCACUCAAAACUGCAGCUCUUGAGUGAAGUAGAGGCAGGCGGAAUUCCUAGUGUAGCGGUGAAAUGCGUAGAUAUUAGGAGGAACACCAGUGGCGAAGGCGGCCUGCUGGGCUUUUACUGACGCUGAGGCUCGAAAGUGUGGGGAGCAAACAGGAUUAGAUACCCCGGUAGUC